rnacentral:rRNA from 1 species
CCUACGGGAGGCAGCAGUGGGGAAUAUUGCACAAUGGGGGAAACCCUGAUGCAGCGACGCCGCGUGAGUGAAGCAGUAUUUCGGUAUGUAAAGCUCUAUCAGCCGGGCAGAAAAUGACGGUACCUGAGUAAGAAGCCCCGGCUAAAUACGUGCCAGCAGCCGCGGUAAUACGUAGGGGGCAAGCGUUAUCCGGAUUUACUGGUUGUAAAGGGAGCGUAGACGGCAGCAUAAGGCUGGAGUGAAAUGCCGGGGCUUAACCCCGGACCUGCUUUGGAGACUGUGCAGCUAGAGUGCAGGAGAGGUAGGUGGAAUUCCUAGUGUAGCGGUGAAAUGCGUAGAUAUUAGGAGGAACACCAGGGGCGAAGGCGGCUUACUGGACUGUAACUGACGUUGAGGCUCGAAAGCGUGGGGAGCAAACAGGAUUAGAUACCCUUGUAGUC